AUUUAAAUAGCUUACAUAGAGCAUAGCAUUGAAGAUGCUAAGGAAUUACUCAAAUAUUUUUAAAUA
rnacentral:tRNA from 1 species